rnacentral:tRNA from 1 species
GGCAGUAUGGCCGACUAGGCGGUAAACUGUAAAUUUACCCACGGGAUUUCCCUGCUGUCA